GUGGGGAAUAUUGGACAAUGGGCGCAAGCCUGAUCCAGCCAUGCCGCGUGAGUGAUGAAGGCCUUAGGGUUGUAAAGCUCUUUCGUCAGGGAAGAUAAUGACGGUACCUGAAGAAGAAGCCCCGGCUAACUUCGUGCCAGCAGCCGCGGUAAUACGAAGGGGGCUAGCGUUGCUCGGAAUCACUGGGCGUAAAGCGCACGUAGGCGGCUUUCUAAGUCAGGGGUGAAAUCCUGGAGCUCAACUCCAGAACUGCCUUUGAUACUGGAGAGCUUGAGUUCGGGAGAGGUGAGUGGAACUGCGAGUGUAGAGGUGAAAUUCGUAGAUAUUCGCAAGAACACCAGUGGCGAAGGCGGCUCACUGGUCUGGUACUGACGCUGAGGUGCGAAAGCGUGGGGAGCAAACAGGAUUAGAUACCCCGGUAGUCC
rnacentral:rRNA from 1 species